rnacentral:misc_RNA from 1 species
GUUAGGUUUCUCUUUCUCUUUCUUUAUCGAUGGAUGUGAAAUUGGGUUCUGGGGUUUGUGUUUUGUUGUUUCGUUUGGAAUUUCUCACCCAGUUGAGUGUUUUUUGGUAUUUUUUGGUGCAGUCGAAAGAUCUGCUUCUGCCCUCAUGGGUUCUCGAAGGGUAAAAAUGAGUUCUUUGCAGAUGUGACUAAGCUUGAGGAGUUUCUCAAGGACCCAUGGGGUCUUAAGGCCAAACAA